UGUUGCACAUGGGCUUUCUCUAGUUGCAGUGACUGGGGGCUGCUCUUCAUUGCGGUGUGCGGGCGUCUCACUGCGGUGGCUUCUCUUGUUGCGGAACAUGGGCUCUAGGCACGUGGGCUUCAGUAGUUGUGGCACACAGGCUCAGUAGUUGUGGUGCACGGGCUUAGUUGCUCCGUGGCGUGUGGGAUCUUCCCAGACCAGGGCUCGAACCCGUGUCCCCUGCAUUGGCAGGCGGAUUCUUAACCACUGCGCCAUCAGGGAAGUCCUAUACAUCAGGUUCUUAUUAGUUAUCUAUUUUAUACAUAUUAGUGUAGAUAUGUCGAUCCCAGUCUACUCAAAGAACCAGCUUUUAGUUUUAUUGAUCUUUGCUAAUGUUUUCUAUGUUUCUGUUUCAUUUAUUUCUCCUCUGAUCUUUAUGAUUUCUUUCUUUCUGCUAACUUUGGGUUAUGUUUUUUGUUCUUCCUCUAAUUCCUUUAGGUGUAAGGUUAGAUUGUUUAUUUGAGAUUUUUCUUGUUUCUUGAGGUAGGAUUGUGUUGCUAUAAAUUUCCGUCUUAGAACUGCUUUUGCUGCAUCCCAUAGGUUUUGGAUCAUUGUGUUUUCAUUGUCAUUUGUCUCUAGGUAUCUUUUGAUUUCCUCUUUGAUUUCUUCAGUGAUCUCUUGGUUAUUUAGUAACGUAUUGUGUAGCCUUUGUGUGUUUGUGUUUUUUACAAAUUGAUUGUAAUUGAUUUCUAAUCUUAAAGCAUUGUGGUCGGAAAAGACGCUUGAUAUGAUUUCAAUUUUCUUAAAUUUACCAAGACUUGAUUUGUGACCCAAGAUGUGAUCUGUCCUGGAGAGCGUUCCGUGCGCACUUGAGAAGAAAGUGUAAUCUGCUUUUUUGGAUGGAAUGUCUUAUAAAUAUCAAUUAAAUCUAUCUGGUCUAUUGUGUUGUUUAAAGCUUAUGUUUCCUUAUUAAUUUUCUGUCCAGAUGAUCUGUCCAUUGGUAUAAGUGAGGUGUUAAAGUCCCCCACUAUUAUCGUGUUACUGUUGAUUUCCUCUUUUAUAGCUGUUAGCAUUUGCCUUACAUAUUGAGGUGCUUCUAUGUUGGGUGCAUAUAUAUUUAUAAUUGUUAUAUCUUCUUGGAUUGAUCCCUUGAUCAUUAUGUAGUGUCCUUCCUUGUCUCUUGUAACAUUCUUUAUUUUAAAGUCUACUUUAUCUGAUAUGAGUAUAGUUAUUCCAGCUUUCUUUUGAUUUCCAUUUGCAUGGAAUAUUUCUUUCCAUCCCCUCACUUUCAGUCUGAAUGUGUCCCUAGGUCUGAAGUGGGUCUCUUGUAGACAGCAUAUAUGCGGGUCUUGUUUUUGUAUCCAUUCAGUGAGUCUGUCUUUUGGUUAGAGUGUUUAAUCCAUUCACAUUUAAAGUACUUAUUGAUAUGUAUGUUCCUAUUACCAUUUUCUUAGUUGUUUUGGGUUUGUUUUUGUAGGUGCUUUGCUUCUCUUGUGUUUCCCACUUAGAGAAUUUCCUUUAGCAUUUGUGGUAGAGCUGGUUUGGUGGUGUUGUCUCUUAGCUUUUGCUUGUCUGUAAAGCUUUUGAUUUCUCCAUCGAAUCUGAAUGUGAUCCUUGCUGGGUAGAGUAUUCUUGGUUGUAGGUUCUUCCCUUUCAUCACUUUAAAUAUAUUGUGCCACUCCCUUCUGCCUUGCAGAGUUUCUGCUGAGAAAUCAGCUUUUAACCUUAUGGGAGUUCCCUUAUAUGUUAUUUGUCGUUUUUCCCUUGUUGCUUUUAAUAAUUUUUCUUUGUCUUUAAUUUUUGUCCAUUUGAUUACUAUGUGUCUCGGCAAGUUUCUCCUUGGGUUUAUCCUGUAUGGGACUCUGUGCUUCCUGGACUUGGGUGGCUAUUUCCUUUCCCAUGUUAGGGAAAUUUUCAACUAUAAUCUCUUCAAAUAUUUUCUCAGGUCCUUUCUUUCUCUCUCUCCUUCUGGGACCCCUAUAAUGUGAAUGUUAGUGUGUUUAAUGUUGUCCCUGAGAUCUCUUAGGCUGUCUUCAUUUCUUUUCAUUCUUUUUUCUUUAUUCUGUUCCGUGACAGUGAUUUCCACCAUUCUGUCUUCCAGGUCCCUUAUCCGUUCUUCUGCCUCAAUGAUUCUGCUAUUGAUUUCUUCUAGUGUAUUUUUCAUUUCAGUUAUUGUAUUGUUCAUCUCUGUUUGUUUGUUCUUUAAUUCUUCUAGGUCUUUGUUAAACAUUUCUUGCAUCUUCUUGAUCUUUGCCUCCAUUCUUUUUCCGAGGUCCUGGAUCAUCUUCACUAUCAUUAUUCUGAAUUCUUUUUCUGGAAGGUUACCUAUCUCCACUUCAUUUAGUCGUUUUUCUGGGGUUUUAUCUUGUUCCUUCAUCUGGGAUAUAGUCCUCUGCCUUUUCAUUUUGCUAUCUUUCUGUGAUUGUGGUUUUUGUUCUGCAGGCUGAAGGUUUGUAGUUCUUCUUGCUUCUGCUGUCUGCCGUCUGGUGGAUGAUGCUAUCUAAGAGAUUUGUGCAAGGUUUCUGAUGGGAGCGACUGGUGGUGGGUAGAGCUGGGUGUCGCUCUGGUGGGCAGAGCUCAGUAAAACUUUAAUCCACUUGUCUGCUGAUGUGUGGGGCUGAGUUCUCUCCCUGUUGGUUGUUUGGCCUGAGGUGACCCAGCACUGGAGCCUACAGGCUCUUCGGUGGAGCUAAUGGUGGACUCCAGGAGGGCUCACACCAGUGAGUACUUCCCAGAACUUCUGCCAGUGUCCUUGUCUCCGUGGUGAGCUACAGCCAUCCCCCGCCUCGGCAGGAGACCCUCCAACACUAGCAGGCGAUGAAGAGUGGAUACUGUACAGCAAUGUGGAACAGAAGAGAUCAUGGGGCAAGCGAAAUGAACCACCACCAACCACACCAAAGGCCUGUCUUCAUCCAAAGAAGGUGAUGUUGUGUAUAUGGUGGGAUUGGAAGGGAGUCCUCUAUUAUGAGCUCCUUCCAGAAAACCAAACAAUUAAUUCCAACAAGUACUGCUCCCAACCGGACCAACUGAAAAUGGCAUUCGACUAAAAGCAUCCAGAAUUAGUCAACAGAAAAUGCAUAAUCUUCCAUCAGGAUAAUUCAAGACUGCAUGUUUCUUUGAUGACCAGGCAAAAACUGUUACAGCUUCGCUGGGAAGUUCUGAUUCAUCCGCCAUAUUUACUAGACAUUGCACCUUCAGAUUUCCAUUUAUUUCAGUCUUUAUAAAAUUCUCUUAAUGGAAAAAAUUUCAAUUCCCUGGAAGACUGUAAAAGGCACCUGGAACAGUUCUUUGCUUAAAAAGAUAAAAAGUUUUGGAAAGAUGGAAUUACGAAGUUGCCUGAAAAAUGGCAGAAGAUAGUGGAACAAAAGGGUGAAUACGUUGUUCAAUAAAGUUCUUGGUGGAAAUGAAAAA